GGCAUAUGUGAGGGCCCUGGAUUCAUUGCAGCUGAUAGAUAAGACUGUGGCCAGUGGACACAGAGCAUCUACUACGUGCUUGGCAUGGGUCUGACACGCUGGAGGAGACCUAGAGAGGCACACAUUACAAAUACUGGAGACCAAACCCUAUGUAAUCUUACCCUCACUCCUGUUCAAACAUGUGAUCAUAUGUGGACCUCCAACACACGAGCUAGAUAGAAGAAAGAACUUCCCUGAGCCUGGGUUGUCAACACUGUUCAGUAAAAUCAUCAGAAGGCCUUUCCUCUUGGAAGGUGGUGAACCAGGAGACCCUCAUCUUGAUGGGACAGGAUCAGGGUCCCACCCCUGCCCAAGCCCUUGCCCUAGGCCCUGCCACUCAAAUAUGCCAGUCUGGGCAGACUUUGGAGCAUCUUCCGAGACACAGCGACAGCAGGAAGGACUGGGGUUAGACAUUCUGAGCUCCUUCCCAGCUACAAGGAGGAGGAGAUCUGAGGAGCUGAGCAGGAGGCCAAGGAAGAGGUGUGUGAGCACAUGAGUCCAAGCCUGAGAUCCUCAGGCGGGCUCUGCAUCGCGCUGGGAGAGGCAUCAUUCAUCUGCCCAGGGGUGGAGAUGGGGCAGGGGGAGAGGAAUGAAAAACACCCACAGCCCAUUAACCUACUUUUGCAACUUCAUUAAAACAGAGUCUCCGACGUGUCGCCAUAAAUUGUCUUCGGAGGAAGAAGCCAGAUCCAACACCCAGCUCUAGCCGUGAAGCCUCUGAGAAGAGGCUAGAAUAACCAGGUGGUUAUGGGGAGGGGUGUGGGUCACUGAGUGUCUGCAGGCUGGACCAGUCUGACUGCCUAUCGUAGAUCUCCUAGGUGGGCAAACCACUGUGUGAGAGGCAAGAAGGGGAUUUUUUAUUAUAUUAUACAGUGCUGAUCAAGAACCUCACAGCAACAGCAGGGAUGUGUUACACAGCACAGGGGACUAUAUUCAGUAUCUUAUAAUAAACUACAAUGGAAAAGAAUUUUUAAAAAAGAA
rnacentral:lncRNA from 1 species